rnacentral:lncRNA from 1 species
ACCAAAGGAGUCAUGUCAUUCUGAUUUUUUUUGUUGGUUUCUUGUAUCAAAGUGGGUACAAUAAUAGUAUUAAUUAAGUUGUCAAAUUUUAGUUUGGGAUCCAUUGCUUAACAACCAGUAUCUAAAGAGAAAAGCUAAUAGGGAGCACGUUCAAAGAAGCUCACUACAUAGUGUUUCUCUUCACUCUUCUUCGUGGAAAUGUGAAAGAUCUUUUUCGCAUUAAUUUUACGCUUAGUAAAAGCAACCAUAUCAACAAAGUUAGCUUUCUUGCGUGUUAAAAUAAUUUUUAAAGGGAGAACACUGUACAUAUUUUUUAGCUUUUCAGGCAAUGCAAGCAUCUCUAAAUUGCUUUUAAAAAAACGAACCAUCAGGAGAGCUGCCCGCUACGAAUCGCUGAGUUCUAGUCGCAUUAGACAUUUGCUGAGUUAGGUUUAGACUGGACCAAUCAUGGUCAUUAUUCAAUAUUCAAAUACUUUUAGUAACAUACU